rnacentral:rRNA from 1 species
UGGGGAAUAUUGGACAAUGGGCGAAAGCCUGAUCCAGCCAUGCCGCGUGUGUGAAGAAGGUCUUCGGAUUGUAAAGCACUUUAAGUUGGGAGGAAGGGCAGUAAGCGAAUACCUUGCUGUUUUGACGUUACCGACAGAAUAAGCACCGGCUAACUCUGUGCCAGCAGCCGCGGUAAUACAGAGGGUGCAAGCGUUAAUCGGAAUUACUGGGCGUAAAGCGCGCGUAGGUGGUUCGUUAAGUUGAAUGUGAAAGCCCCGGGCUCAACCUGGGAACUGCAUCCAAAACUGGCGAGCGAGAGUAGGGCAGAGGGUGGUGGAAUUUCCUGUGUAGCGGUGAAAUGCGUAGAUAUAGGAAGGAACACCAGUGGCGAAGGCGACCACCUGGGCUCAUACUGACACUGAGGUGCGAAAGCGGGGGGAGCAAACAGG